GAAACCAUGAUAGCUGCUGGGCCACUCAGCUCUCGUGACAGCAGUGGGGUCCCCGCACUGGCAGGGGUACCAAGCUCAGAUCCUGGGAGCACGAUGUUAGAUCUCCCCGUCCACGUCCACUGGAUGACCUCGAAGAUGAGAAUCUGGAUCGACUCAUCAGAAAUUGUGCCCAACCAGAAUCCUGGGGAGCCUGAAUGCAGCGGACCUACUUUGAGAAGCAGCGGGCUAGGCACAGUAGGGCUGGGGUAAGUGCCCCCUGCCCCACCCAGGACCCCUCCACCCCCAAGAUGUGAGCUGGUGACUCACUGGAGCAUCGGCCAGAUGGGAGGCACCCUGGCAGGGGAAGCUGUGCACCCCGAAUCUCAGUCAAGGUGACCCCAGACACCCCAAGCUGGAGUGGAGCUGGCCUCCCUCUCACCAUCUUCCUCUCUCCUCUUCCGUGUCCCUUGGGUGCUCCCUCACCCUAAACAACUCACUUUGGUCCUCCUCCGCCCCAGCCAAUGAUCUGUUCUCUGUCACUCUGAUGUUGCCUUUUCCAAAGUGUCACAUAAAUAGAAUCACAAGGAUGCAGCCUUUUGGGACUGGCUUUCACUCAGCACCAUGUCUCUGAGGUCCAUUGUGUUGUGUAUCACUGUCACUCUGGGUUCCUCCCUGGCAUGGUGGGCCUCAGUGCAUGCAUCCACUCCCCAGCUGGUGGGCUUUGGCGAUGAUGAAUAAAGUUGCUCUAAACACUC